GCUUGCUUCUAUCAAUCUUAGUGGCGAACGGGUGAGUAACGCGUAAUCAACCUGCCCUUCAGAGGGGGACAACAGUUGGAAACGACUGCUAAUACCGCAUACGAUCCAAUCUCGGCAUCGAGGAUGGAUGAAAGGUGGCCUCUAUUUAUAAGCUAUCACUGAAGGAGGGGAUUGCGUCUGAUUAGCUAGUUGGAGGGGUAACGGCCCACCAAGGCAAUGAUCAGUAGCCGGUCUGAGAGGAUGAACGGCCACAUUGGGACUGAGACACGGCCCAGACUCCUACGGGAGGCAGCAGUGGGGAAUCUUCCGCAAUGGACGAAAGUCUGACGGAGCAACGCCGCGUGAGUGAUGACGGCCUUCGGGUUGUAAAGCUCUGUUAAUCGGGACGAAAGGUCCUCUUGCGAAUAGUUAGAGGAAUUGACGGUACCGGAAUAGAAAGCCACGGCUAACUACGUGCCAGCAGCCGCGGUAAUACGUAGGUGGCAAGCGUUGUCCGGAAUUAUUGGGCGUAAAGCGCGCGCAGGCGGAUCAGUCAGUCUGUCUUAAAAGUUCGGGGCUUAACCCCGUGAUGGGAUGGAAACUGCUGAUCUAGAGUAUCGGAGAGGAAAGUGGAAUUCCUAGUGUAGCGGUGAAAUGCGUAGAUAUUAGGAAGAACACCAGUGGCG
rnacentral:rRNA from 1 species